CAGUUCAAGCUCCACUUGGUGGUAACGUGUCUUGUCUUAAACUGAGCAAUCUCUAGGCUGCCAUCUGCUGGUGGUGCCGAUGCUGUGACCCCUUAAUGGCUAAAGGUGACUUUGGUCUCAACCUUGAGUCUUUUCUUCCAGGUGCUCCCACUCUCUGCUGUGUCCACACCCCUCCCUCUACCACCCCCUCACCCCCACCUCCUGUUUUCCCUCCCUAGUGAUUACUUAACCUUCGUCACCUGUGUCUACUUAACUCCACCCAUGUCUCUCUGUAGUCCAGGCUCUCUCCACUCUCCCCUGCCUGUUUGUUUUUCUCACUGCUGUUUCUAGCUCUGCUCUGUGUGUAGAAGUCAUUCAAGUCAUGUUUUUGAAUCUUUCUGAUUAAGGUCUGGUUAUGUCCUGCAGGAAAGUCCAUGGAUUUCCCACAAGAAAACCACCUCCUGAGAGUGAUGAAAGUGAAUGCUGUUAGAAAACCGACCACACAUAAAAGGAGAUCAUGCAAAUCCAUGCAGAAAAACCAUCUGUGGUAACCGGUGACCUUCACGUCGUGAGUCAACUCCAGCUCCCUGGCCUAUUGACAGUUUGUGUGAGGCUUCUGUGGAACAAAUGCAAAUGCUGACUGGAAUAAUAAAUGAUUCAAGAUUGCUCUCCGUGUACAGAGUGUGGCUGUGCAGCACACAGAAACACUGAAAGCAGCUGAAAGCGAAAACACUGGCAGCUUUUUUUCUUCUUAUCUCCUUCAGCUCGUCUCAGCCUCUACAGUCCACUGGGUGCAGAGUAAGAACUUCUGAAGCAGGUGAGAGAUGAUCACUUCAUUACAGCAGCGAUGUUAUGCACAAGAAGCUGCUGCUGCUCUGCGGGAGAUGUUUACGACCAAAUGGCAUUCCUCUAUCACUGCCUCCCCUGCAGGGUUCGUCUAAAUUUAGUUUGUUCUGGCUGAUUAGACUUGGGUGACCAGUGGUUCAUUUGUCUUCCACCCGUUAAUCUUAACCAGGGGGUGACAAUCUCAGCAGUAAUCAGGAAAAGGGGGGUGGGGGGACAGUUUAUCAAUCCAUCACUGGGCCACAUAGGGACAACAACACAUUUACACUCUCAUUCAUAUCUAUAAAAUGUCCAGUUAACCGAAUCUGUAUGUGCUGGAGAACUCCAAACAGAAAGACCAUCAGUUAGCACUUGGGUUCAAACCCCCAUCUUAUCGCUGUAAGGCAAGUGCACUCACCACUCUUCCCUUUUUUUACUUGAAAAAAUAUUUUGUGUACUGUAAAUACUAUUAUACUCUCAUCUCAGAUAAUCACAUAAUUUCCAUCUAUGGCAAAAACAAAAAGGUUUUAUUUAGAAAAUGUUGAGUUUCUUCCUGUAAACUGAUCUCAGAACUCUCUCUCCUGGAACACUUGAACACAUCAUUAGUUGCUGCCAUCUACUAGUGAACUAGUGAACAAAUGCCUGUAUCUAGUAUGUUACUUUAAAAGAUGUGAAAGGGACAUGCACCAUUUCUUCAUUUAUUAAUUACAUACUUUAUGAGAGUAAUUGAUAACCAUCGAUACUUGUGUAAAUAUUGCUAUAUGGAUACCACAGACUCGAUGCUCCCAUCGCUGCCCUCUACUGGGUCUGUUUUUAAUCCACAUAAAAUGUAGCCUUAUAUAAAAUUAGAGUAAGAAAAAUGGGAUAAAAUUCAAAUGUAAAAAUUCAUCCCAGAGUGCAUUUCAAAAUAAUGAUCUGCCCUUUGUUUUCUUGACUUCUACAAUUUGGUUUUCAAUAUGACUGUCCUGUAAAAGCAUGGAUGAAACCUGCUGAUAUUACAAUCCCACAUCUUCUCCCUUUGGUGAAUUCCUGGUUAUUGAUACUUAACCACCCACAAACGGAAAAGGGGCUGUGUCCACCCGUACACUCAUAAAUAUUUAUCCCAAUACAUUUGCAUAAAACAUUAAAUAUAUUAUGAUGUUGGAGCCCUCGGGGUAUACAGUCCCUUUUUACACUACGCUGUAUUCUAUGCCUAUCACUAAAACAUGUGGCUGUGUUUUUAAAAAUGUAUGUUUGCAGCAAGCGGAGCAGUACGGGAUGAAACUCAGCGGGGUUCAGAUCUAAAUUCUAGAUACUUGUUGUCUCCAUAUCUGUUGGUACUGGUUCUUUGUUGUGCUAUAUGACUUCAUGCACAAAUGUGUUUUAGCCCUAUGUUGAGAGCUUGUACACACCAGUUCCAGUUCAUUGCAUAUAUAUUGAAACCCAACCCAAUCAGUACUCGGUAUUGGACAGUA